GUGGCAACUAAUUAAACUUUAGAGCAAGGGCACAUGGGGUCAGUCUGCGUAUAAGUGCAGACUUACAAGUCACCCCUACACUUCUAGAUGUGCCUGCACCCAGAAGCAUUGAAUCUCCAGUAAGACGUGUCAUUAAUGAAGUUUUCUAAUUUCCUCUACCAGGUGAAUUCAUUCAGAAUAUGUUGGAGCCUGAGUAGACUUCCAGUGUCAUGGGAUGAGAGUUUUGGCUGCAAAUAAGAGUUGAAGGAGUGAACAUCAUGGCGCAAAUGACAUAUUAUGGAAUACAGGCGUUCAUUUAGAGAAGUGAAAAAAGAGGGAGAGAGUAAAGGAAAGACUUGAUUUCAUACUGAGUGACUGAUGGAGUCGAGGUUGAGAGAAAAUAUGAACAGACAUCACCAAAGUUUUUUAAUGAACGGACACAUUUAUUAAAUUUAUUACCUGUGUUAAUUCAUCUGUAUGUGUUUCUCUACUUUGAGCAAACCCCCAUUUGUUCUAUGCAUUUGUUUUAAGUUGUAUGCUCAGCAGUAGCAGCACUCAACGUGUGGGCAGACAAGACUGGGACAAUUACUUUUGAUUUUUAAUCAUUCCCGUGCAAAUGAAAUAGUUAUGUUUGGUCAUUACAUACAUUUAACUCUUUAACAAGUGCAUCUGUACCACUCAUAAUGAAUUAAGAUGUUUCCAUAUUCCACAUGAAUACCGACUCCCAAGUAUACUACCACAUCCAUUUUAAGGCUUUUUCCUUUUAUUUCUUUACAAAAAACAGCGAUGCUAUAAUAUUGCCUGAAUGUGGGAACUAUUGCCAUUGAGAGCAUCAUAUAAAGAAAGGCAAUACAAUACAAUUUAACAUUACAUUGUAGUAUAAUGUAGUGAUAUUUUAAGACAAAAAGCCAUGUCUUAUUUUUUAUAUUGUGUUUUUAAAUGUUUGUUUCUCGGUUAUGCUUCAGUUCAGACUAAAAUUGUAAAUGCUAUCUAAAUGGUGGAAUCCCUGACUCUGGGGACCACAGAUUAAUCUUAAAGUUAGAAUUUUAUUGUUAAUAAGUAUUUCUAUUUUCUAUUGUUAUAUCCUCAUCUCUACUGCUAUCAUAUCAAAUGUUAACUUCACUAGAAUUGUAAAAGUAGAGAAUUUCAUAUGAAAAAUCUUCUUUAACAUGCCAGCUGUAUUUUUCUUAUAAAAAUUAGCAUGUAAGAUAAAUAUAUUUUUGUCCUAUACAAUGUGGUGCACUGGGGAGUAAUAAACAUCAAUACUAUGUAUUUGUUAUAAAGGUGACCAAGCAGGAACAUUACAAAAAUAACAUGUCUUAUUAUUAAAUGAAUCAUACCUCCCUUU